AUCUACGGCCAUGGCACCCUGAACAUGCCCUAUCCUGUCUGAUUUUGGAAGCUAAGCAAGGUUGGGCCUGGUUAGUACUUGGAUGGGAGACCACCUAGGAAUAUCAGGUGCUGUAGGCA
rnacentral:rRNA from 1 species